AUUGAACGCUGGCGGCAGGCCUAACACAUGCAAGUCGAGCGGGGUUUUCGGACCUAGCGGCGGACGGGUGAGUAAUGCGUAGGAAGCUGCCCGAUAGAGGGGGAUACCAGUUGGAAACGACUGUUAAUACCGCAUAAUGUCUACGGACCAAAGUGUGGGACCUUCGGGCCACAUGCUAUCGGAUGCGCCUACGUGGGAUUAGCUAGUUGGUGAGGUAAUGGCUCACCAAGGCGACGAUCUCUAGCUGGUUUGAGAGGAUGAUCAGCCACACUGGAGCUGAGACACGGUCCAGACUCCUACGGGAGGCAGCAGUGGGGAAUAUUGGACAAUGGGCGCAAGCCUGAUCCAGCCAUGCCGCGUGUGUGAAGAAGGCCUUCGGGUUGUAAAGCACUUUCAGCGAGGAGGAAGGGUGGUGUGUUAAUAGCACAUCAUUUUGACGUUACUCGCAGAAGAAGCACCGGCUAACUCUGUGCCAGCCGCCGCAGUAAAAC
rnacentral:rRNA from 1 species